AGAAGACGAGUAACAAAAUCCAGCUAGGACGAAGACUACAUAACCAGCUCUUUGAAGUAUUUAAUAAAGUUUUUCCGGAACAUGUCAGAAAAUAUUAGUUAGGAUUCGGAGCCAAACAGUAUCAUGGUGUACCUUCAUUGACGCCUAUGCUACUGAGUCCUCACUUUUUGAUGUUCCUUAAGUGAAAAUCCGCUUAUAGCACAUGGAAUGAUCACCUGUGAUUGCUAACCAUUUUACAGGCUACCUUUGUUUCACUUUGCCCUCAUUUUCUACAAAAUCCGAAAGAUUUCUUUUCAAAUAUAUCGAAAUUAUUCUUGCCUAUUUAAAAAUAUUUAUAUUUACUGCGUUUGCCUCUUUAGGGUUCAAAUUUGGAUAAUUAUUUUUGUAGCCCUUUUUUAAUAUCGGCUUGUUGAGUAGCCACCUUGCAUUUAUCUUUGGAAGAAGAGAAGGAUUGAUGAGACAUUUCAAGACUCUCAAAAACCGAUAAAUAUUCUGAAGAUUUGCUACUUCUCAUUUUGUUGUUCCUUGUAUAAGGUUGAAGACUGAUUUUGUAAAUUAUAGAAAAUGUCUGUAUAUAUUCGAACUCGAAAGAUAAUGCAAUUUAUUAAUGUCUAUGGUACUACUGAAUGUUUUAAAUAUCCCGAAGUCUUCAGUACUAGCAGGUACCAUUUUUAAAACCUGUUCACUAUAGAUGCUGGACUAGAUGAUAAUGGCUCAUCAUUCCGCAAAGAUUAAGUGUGAAGUAGAAGCGACACCUUCAUCUUUAUACCCAACUCUCCUGAUGUGAUGGAUUUCAUAUAUCGAAGUUAUCGUCGCUGCCAAGUGUCGUCCUUUCGAUUUCUUUUUGAAAAUACAAUACUGGAUCCAAGCUGGUUUCGGAAAAGAUCCCCAUCUGAAUCGCACCACACUGAACCAAGCCAUUUUUAGAUGGAAGAGGAAGAUAUUUUCUCUUGGAUUUCCCAUUCUAUCGCAUUAGACUAACCAGAUUGACAUGUUUUGACCGAAAUGACCAUGGCUCAACAGGAAAUAUCUGGAACCUACAAGUGGAUUUUGGAAUUUGGACCCUUUUCAAAUUAAAUUAUGGUCAGAGAUCCAACAGAUAUAAUUGAUAGUUUCAAAAGCUAGGAAUAUUAAACCAAGUUCAAAAUGCAUCGCCUUUAAUACUCGCAAAUUAUCAAGACUUAAAUUCAGUCUGCACAGUGGAUUGAAAGUGAAAGGUUUAUGAUCUCUCCAUAUACCAGACAAGUGGUUUCAAAGAAACGAGGGCAAAAUCAUGUGGAUUUAACAUGUGUAAUCCGUGAUAGAAGAAAAUAACCAUGAAGAUUUCUUCUUAUUAAACUAUGGAAUCAAUGUUAAUUUGGAGGAUUUUUUUUUUUGUGCAAUGACAGCAAGAACUUGUGAGAUAACAUCCGUUUGCUCCAGUUUACUUGUACUUAAAUACUUGGGUGAAAUAGAACGUCAUAUAAAGCAAACAAAGAUCAACUAAUCUGCAUUUGAUUCUACAGCAGCGCACUGUGCAAAGAAUACAUCUGAUGUCAUCUAUUUGAAUAACGAAACUCCAUCUGUGGAAUGAAAGGCCUUUUCAGUUCCAGCUACAAACUCUAUAUACAAAGGAUGUCUGGAUGCACAGGAAAGAACGGUACUGAAGUGAUUUCGAUAUUAACAGGAGUUGGCCGAAAUGAUAGCGGUAAAACGGAUGGCAUUCAGAAUCUUCAUCAAGCGAAUAUUAGAACUCGGUGCCUUUAAAAGGAAAUAUUGGAUGGCGAUCCAACAGAUGCAGCUUGUGUCUUUGGUCUGAUAUUAGAGCAAACCCAAAAUGAGUAUUUUGUGCCAAUAUAUUAUCAAUGAUAUGCAUGGUGGAAAUGUAAAUGUAUAUGUAGUUAACAUUACUUGAGGAUAUCAAUACAUCUCUGAAAUACUUUGUUCUUCUAUUUUAAGGUGUUGAAUAUUUAUAUAUUUUUGGAGAAUUCUUUCAAUCAAUGCGUAAUUGUUCUUGAACUUGGAAUUCUUGGAACUUGGAAAAGGUUGAAGUGCAUGGAAUGUAAAUCGUUCAAAGCCUGUGUUUGGCAUAUGAAUCAAUAUUUCUUAACUGUUCUGGAAAUUGUUAUGCAUAUGUCCAUUUUAAUAGCUUCUGGUACAUUAUAUUUCCUUCAAAGUGGAUAUUUGUAUUCUACUCUUUUAGACACAAGUAUUUUUUUAAAUAUUAUAGACAUAUGAAACAUUUUUAUGGAUAAAUUAAAAUUUGAUAGUGUGUUUGAUUUUUUGCUGAAUAUCUAAAACCAAUUUCCAUCAAUUUUUCUUUCAACGCGUAUAAAAUUGACUUCAAAAUUUCAUUUGUAACCAUACUCUUAUUAGAAGUUAACAAGUCGAACUUUUGUUACUCUCCCAGCAA